rnacentral:lncRNA from 1 species
CCGGGGCCCUCGCUCCGGGCGGCGACUUUGCGUCCCCGCACGUGGGCGCCCACCCUCUAAGCGCCGGUCCGCACCUCGGUACACCCGCAAGGGCUGGGCAGCGCCGUCUGUUCCUUCACUGAUUCAUUCGUUGCCCGGACCACGGCACAGCGCUCCAGUGCGCAGCUGGACACAAGUCCGUCCCACGCCCAGCGCCGCGAAGGACACCAGCGGGGGCGCGGGCCGGCACCUCUGCGCACUCGAGCAGGCUGCACUCUCAGGGCCCAGGGCCCCAGAGCCCACGGGGAGCCGCGCACAGCUUAGCGGAGCAGACAUCCCCACACCACCAAAAGACGCUGGAGGACCUCUAGUGUUCCCCACCAGGGGCGCAGCCUGCAGCAAAGAACAACCCUCAGCCGCCAGUGCCUCGCCCUUGGCCACAGGCUGCCCCCAAGUUGGGCCACGUGUUUGGCCUAUUGGCUGCAGGUUCAGGUACUUGCCCACUAAGGAUGGCCUUAGGCCUGAGCCCAAGCAACUCCACUUUAAAACUCCAGUUUGAAACCUGCAGUCUCACCAGGCACACCCACAGAGCCCUCCAGUGUGGCCCUCAGGCACCAAUAGGUCACUUCCCCCACCCUGACAUCAGAGUGAAGUCUCUGGCAGGCUGGCCUCGCCCAAUAAGGGGGAAAGGAAAGGCGGCCGUUAAGAGGGAAAGGCGAAAAGAUCAGAGUGGGAACCACCAGACCAGAUGCUUUAACCCAGGGUAAAUGAGGUCACUGAGAGACCCCCACGGCAGCUGACGCACACAACCCUGAGAGCUCGAUGAGGACCUGGACUGACAUCCCAAGUCUUCCCGUGUGCCUGAUCCUCGGCAUUGUUCUUACCACCCUCAAACUCUACAGCCACAUUUGGCCCUGUGAGAGCUGCAACUUCUCCCUAUGACCCUCUCCUCAGCCAGCCAUCAGUUCCACCCAGGAGAAGCCUACCUUGGUUCCUGACCUGAUCACCGUGGUCUGAGUGAGUGUGCAUCUGCUGGACUUGAAGCCUAAGACUUGAGACUUCUGAUCUGACACUUGAGCUUUGCAUGCAGAGGGAAUGCCUGUCAUGAGCCUGUCAUGAUGAAGAGUGUUUGCAGUGCUUGGAAUUAAUCUAGAAUUGUUUGCUGUGAAUUGUUUAUGUCUAUUGCCAUGCCCAGAGUUAAGGAUUGUCAUUCCAUAAGAACCUAUAGAGUGAAAUUGUAUUAAGUGAUUUAAGUGAAUAGAGCAUUGAAAAGGGCAGAAGUGCAUGGACAUUCAUUAUCUCUCCCCUGGACUGCAGAUGCCGCACCUUUUGCUCUCUCAACACCCACCUAGGUCCUUCCAGGAGGAUGAACCUGACCCUGCCCUUCAUCUCCCAACCCAGCCUUCUCCUGAGCUGACGUGAGGGCACAACUCCUCCAGGUUGUGGGUCUUAGACAUGUCGCUUUGACCCUUGGGGUCAGUGAUAUAGACAGCACAUGAGAGCAAGCAUGGUACCCUGCAAGAAGAGGGCAUUGUUUAGGGAACAUUUUCAAGAGAAAGUACAUUGUAAUUAAUAAUAAUCAAUCAUCAUCCAUACCUAUACUCCAAGAAACUUGGGAUGCUGAGGCACAGACAGGGGAAUCCCAACUUCAAGGCCAACCUGAGCGACUUAGUGAGACCCUGCCUCAAAAAAUUAAUUAAUUAAUUAAUUAAAAGGUGCAGCCACGUCAAUGUUUAUAGCAGCUCAAUUCACAAUAACUAAGCUAUGGAACCAACCUAGGUGCCCUUCAACAGAUGAAUGGAUGAAGAAAAUGUGGUAUAUACACACAAUGGGAUAUUUACUCAGCCAUAAAGAACAAUGAAAUUAUGGCAUUUUCUAGUAAAUGGAUAAAAAUGGAGACUAUCAUGCCAAGUGAAGUAAGCCAAUCCCAAAGAACCCAAGGGGGAUAGAAGUUCAUUGGAUUAGACAAAGGGGAGUGAUGGGAAGGGAAUAGGAAAGACAGUGGAAGGAAUCAGA